rnacentral:rRNA from 1 species
UACGAAGGGGGCUAGCGUUGCUCGGAAUGACUGGGCGUAAAGGGCGCGUAGGCGGAUGGUACAGUCAGAUGUGAAAUUCCCGGGCUUAACCUGGGGGCUGCAUUUGAUACGUAUUGUCUUGAGUUCGGAAGAGGGCCGUGGAAUUUCCAGUGUAGAGGUGAAAUUCGUAGAUAUUGGAAAGAACACCGGUGGCGAAGGCGGCGACCUGGUCCGACACUGACGCUGAGGCGCGAAAGCGUGGGGAGCAAACAGG